UAGAUAUUCAUCUGUCCACAGUUAGACAAACUGUCUAUAAAUGGAGAUGAUUUAGUACUAUAGAUACUCUCACUAGAAGUGACCGUUAGAUAUUCAUCCGUCCACAGUGAGACAAACUGUCUAUAAAUGGAGAUGAUUUAGUACUAUAGGUACUCUCACUAGAAGUGGCCGUUAGAUAUUCAUCUGUUCACAGUUAGACAAACUGUCUAUAAAUGGAGAUGAUUUAGUACUAUAGGUACUCUCACUAGAAGUGGCCGUUAGAUAUUCAUCUGUCCACAGUUAGACAAACUGUCUAUAAAUGGAGAUGAUUUAGUACUAUAGGUACUCUCACUAGAAGUGGCCGUUAGAUAUUCAUCUGUCCACAGUUAGACAAACUGUCUAUAAAUGGAGGUGAUUUAGUACUAUAGGUACUCUCACUAGAAGUGGCCGUUAGAUAUUCAUCUGUCCACAGUGAGACAAACUGUCUAUAAAUGGAGAUGAUUUAGUACUAUAGGUACUCUCACUAGAAGUGGCCGUUAGAUAUUCAUCUGUCCACAGUUAGACAAACUGUCUAU